rnacentral:tRNA from 1 species
UCUUUUAUAAUUUAUAAUAAAGAAUAUUGUAUUGAAGCUACAAAAGAGAUUUAUUAAUCUAAAAGAA